rnacentral:rRNA from 1 species
UACGGAGGGAGCGUAGCGUUGUUCGGAAUUACUGGGCGUAAAGGGCUCGUAGGCGGCCAACUAAGUCAGACGUGAAAUCCCUCAGCUUAACUGGGGAACUGCGUCUGAUACUGGAUGGCUUGGAUUCGGGAGAGGAAUGCGGAAUUCCAGGUGUAGCGGUGAAAUGCGUAGAUAUCUGGAGGAAUACCGGUGGCGAAGGCGGCAUCCUGGACCGGCAUUGACGCUGAGGAGCGAAAGCCAGGGGAGCAAACGGG